AAAGAUUGGAAACAUUUGUUAGGGCAACUCAUUCUUCAUGUCAUCAGCUGCAGUUAUCAGAUAGCAGGGUAAGCUCGCGGGUCCAACUUCCUCUGGCUCUCCCACCAAGCAGCACAGAUACCUCAGGAGACACAUCAGCGGAAUAGUCUGCAAGUUGGGCAAAGUCAACAAUCUGCAGUAAACACGAAGCAACCAAGUUGGGAUCAGGGUAAUGCAUCAUAAUCAGCAGUGUAGAUGCUAAUGACCAUGGGAAGUGUAAUUGCUGAGAUCACAGCUAUUGGCACCAGUGAAGUAACUGAAGACAAGUACAGGAAUACGAACGCAGACUUCCACAUAGAGGAAUCCAAGGAGAGCCUGGGAAUAUUUACUGUGGAGAGAGAACACUCGGGAGAAAUGUAUUCAAGAUCAUUAAGUGGAUGGUUAUACAGGCAUUAGAAAAUCUGCUUCAGGUUUCCACGGAUCCCGGAUAGGAAUCUGGCUCAAGCUUACAUUUAACUACUGCUUGCGAUGUGGAAUGGACCACAAAGGGAAGUAAAUGGCAGAGGCUGAAAAACAAAACUAUAAUAGUGAAUUAGAUGGGCAUCUGUUUAGUUAAGCUUAGUCCGAUAAAGUAGUGCUUUUUUUUCUUA